rnacentral:rRNA from 6 species
AAAUUGAAGAGUUUGAUCAUGGCUCAGAUUGAACGCUGGCGGCAGGCCUAACACAUGCAAGUCGAACGGUAACAGGAAGCAGCUUGCUGCUUUGCUGACGAGUGGCGGACGGGUGAGUAAUGUCUGGGAAACUGCCUGAUGGAGGGGGAUAACUACUGGAAACGGUGGCUAAUACCGCAUAACGUCGCAAGACCAAAGAGG